UCCAGACUCCUACGGGAGGCAGCAGUGAGGAAUAUUGGUCAAUGGGCUUACGCCUGAACCAGCCAAGUCGCGUGAGGGAAGACUGCCCUAUGGGUUGUAAACCUCUUUUGUCAGGGAGCAAUUGGCGCUACGUGUAGCGUUAUCGAGAGUACCUGAAGAAAAAGCAUCGGCUAACUACGUGCCAGCAGCCGCGGUAAUACGUAGGGGGCAAGCGUUAUCCGGAUUUACUGGGUGUAAAGGGAGCGUAGACGGCGAUGCAAGUCUGAAGUGAAAGCCCGGGGCUCAACCCCGGGACUGCUUUGGAAACUGUAUGGCUGGAGUACUGGAGAGGCAAGCGGAAUUCCUAGUGUAGCGGUGAAAUGCGUAGAUAUUAGGAAGAACACCAGUGGCGAAGGCGGCUUGCUGGACAGUAACUGACGUUGAGGCUCGAAAGCGUGGGGAGCAAACAGGAUUAGAUACCCUUGUA
rnacentral:rRNA from 1 species